rnacentral:sRNA from 1 species
GUCCCUACAACAUCCAUUUUAUCCACAGCUGGUACACAACUAAUGAUUCAACUAGGUCAUUUAUUUAUAUUUUAAAUUGCCUUCUAUGCUCGGUCAUAAGCCUACUUAACACUGUAUAAUCUAAAGCCCUGGUUCUGCUAUAGAUCUGGUAAGUAAAAGUGUUUUACAAAUGAGUUCUACCGAAAUAUUUUAAAUGUUUGCCCUUCCCACUCCCAUUUCCUAAUCCCUAUUCCAUGAAGUUUAGGUCAAUACAACAGUUUAUGUAUGUUGACAUUUACAGAAGAAGAAUUCAAACAGAGGUGAAAUGAAAGAGAUUGAUCUUUGAGCACUUUCCCAUGAAAAUGUUGUUAUAUAUCCUUUAUGAUAUAAAAUUUUAAAUCAUAGAAUUAUAAAUAUUUGUAAGAAGCAUAUUCAUAUUUUAAUUAAAAAGAAAGGACCAAAAGAAGUUAAAUGCCUUUCCUUUGUCUAUAUGACUGUAUUGUAAAAAAUUAGUCUUCUCUCUCUGGAUGAAUAUCAGCAAAACUAACUUUCUAUGUAUUUCUUUUGAGUUUCAAACAGCAAACUUUAUCUGGGAAUACUUUAACAGUUCAUCUCUGGAAAUUUACAAGAGCUCUACAACUGUCCAUUGAAACUUCACUAUAGUGUGCUUAAGAGCCCUUAUAUGUGAUAUAAUUUUUAUAUGUUUUUGUAAGGAUAUCUUUAUGGACAAAUUCCAAAUGACUAAACGUGUAUGUGUAUGUGUGUUUCACACAUUGUUAGCAUAAAGUAAGUUCUUACUGUUAUCGUUAGACUUACACAGAUGAAUAGAUGGACAAAUAGGUAGGUAGGUCUGUUCAGAAUGAUAUCAUCUUGGUUGGAUUGCCAUUUAGUAUCAGAAAAGAAAGUGUUCUUUUCAAUACCUAUGAUUUAAGGAACAUUUUGCUAUAAGCUCUAAUAUUUCCUAAUUUCCAUUCAAAACAAUACACCAAAUGAGAAGGACGGAAAGAAUAGUCAAGGCUUCUACCUAUGAAUCAAGACAAUGGAUGUGGCCAAUAAGUCUACCAUGUCUGAAUUUAUUUUGCUGGGGCUCUCUAAUUCCUGAGAAUUACAGAUGUUUUUCUUUAUGGUGUUUUCAUUGUUUUAUGUGGCAACAAUGGGAAUAUUUUCAAAACUGUGCUGCUUUUUGCAAUAUAAAACUGUGGAAUCUUUUGGAAGAGACGCUAUUGAUUUUCUGUGCUUUUGUGGAGAAUUCUAAAACUCAAGAACAUUUGCCAAAAUACCCUCAAAGGUGUAGCUGAUCAGCAGACAACUCUAUAAGGCAAGUCAAUAAUAAGAUUAAGUAGUUGGAUUGAUAGUAAAGUUCUCUAGUUGAUAAUAAAAAGGAUUACAGAAAGCCUUUGGAAGACUUACAUAUAUAAAUGGAACAAUCUGUCAUAUUUCUUGGUGGCUUAGUGUGAGGAGUCAAUAUUCAUGGUACCUCUGCAUGUUAUAUAAACACUUAAAAAUCUUAGUUAGGACUUUAGGACUCACGGUGGAUGGUUUUUUUUUUUUUUUCUUUUUUCAUUUAUUUAUUUAUUUGUUUGUUUAUUUUUUUUCUCCCCCCUCCCGCGGUGGAUGGUUUUAUCGAUAUAUCUCUUAGACAAGAUGCUGACACUCUUUUACCGAGGAUAACUGCAGUGACAUGGCCAUGGACUCGUUAGGCAAUAGUAAGGAUGGGGCCAGCUGCCACCGGAGUUUCCAGAGACAGAGAUAAUGUUCUGCAGAGAAUACAAGAUAAGCACACAAGUAUAAUUUUAAGUGAUCUGCACUAUCUGCAAUAACACACUUGAGGGAGUUCUGGAGCAUUUAUAAGAAGACUGUUGACAAGCAACUUCAUCUUCCUCUACAUGUUUAGGAAGCUGUGAAGCUUGACAAUAAUUGAAUGCAGAUGGAAAAACUGUUAAAAAUCAGGUAUAGAUAAAAGCAGACAAAGUGUAAAUUUUAAUAUGUGAAGGAACUGGAUAUAUGUAAUAGCAAUAAAACUACAAAUUAUGUUUGUUUCUAAAAAUGCUUAAGAAAACUUUUAGAAUACUAUAUGGUAUAAUGAUGGUGGAUUUACCAUAAAGCUAGUAAAGCUUAGGGUUUAUAACUCCUCCUUUGCAUGGAUUUCCUCGAAGGCCCUAGAAUGGAAACUAACAACCUUUUAUUAGUUAUUUUGAUUUUUUUUCCUGAAACAGGUGUCCUCGAACUGUAUAAGCUUUAAGCCUAGCUUGUCCAACCCAUGACCUGCAGGUUGCAUGCGGCUCAGGAGAUGGCUUUCAAUUCAGCCCAACACAAAUUCGUAAGCUUUCUUAAAACAUUAUGGGAUUUUCUUGUGAUUUUUUUGUAAAGCUCAUCAGCUAUCUUUAGUAUCAGUGUAUUUUAUGUAUGGCCCAAGACAAUUCUUCUUCCAAUGUGGCCCAGAGAAGCCAAAAGUUUGGACACCCCUGCAUUAAAAGGCUCUGCAGAAUCUGAAGUCUAAUGUGCAGUUUUAAAAGUCUUAGACUCUGGUAUCUUUUUUUUUUAAACCAGUGUUUAAUACUACUUCUACUACUAGUGGUGUAAACUUAAGCUAAGUACUUAAUGCCUCUUAGCCUCAGUUUCUACAUACGUUAAAGGAGAUAAUAGUGGUCUCUACACCACAGAGUUAUUUGAGGCAUAAAAGAAGUAAAUAAUAUAAAGCAUAUAGUUGUCAAUAAAUGUUAGUCAUUGUAUCAUUCUGGGUGAUAAUCUCUGGAUAUCUUUGUUUAUGGGACUUGAUAGUCUCUUGAGCUAACAAUUGACUCGUUUAAUUUAAAAGGUAAAUUUUCAUUUAUAUGUUUUAAACAUUCAUGUCUGUAUAUGUGUGUAUAAAUAUUCAUGUCUGUAUAUGUGUGUCAGUAUUAAUUUGAAAAAUUAAAAGUAACUUCCACUAGAAAAUUACACUGGUUCUUACAUUAAUUAAAGCUUCUGGAAACUUGUUUUUCUGUCUGUUCACAAUUGUCAUUAAUCAAGAGAAGUAUCAAGUUGUUGCUUAAUCAUUAUGCUAUUGCUUCUUUACAAUGAAUAAAUAUUAAAUUGGUUUAUUGAUUUUAGGAUGAAUUCACAUUACAAUUGUCAGAAUAAGAAUGAUGUUUGACUCAUAUUAUUAAGGUAAAGAGAUAAGCAGAUGGAUGGAUUAGUAGAUAGAUAAAGUUUUGUAUUACAUGAGCUGUCUUAUGUGAAGUAUUUUUCUGCAUUGAUAAGGGUUUAGGAUAAUGUGAUCACUGGAUUAUGCUACUAUAUAGAAGUUCUUGGUAAAAUGCUGUUAUUUGUGCAUAUCCAGAUUCUUUAUGAAAGUAUUUUCAAAUUUAAAAAACUACCUGUGAAUCUCUUCUCUACAUGUGAGUUUUUAAACAACUCAGUUAUAGCAAAAUUUGUUGAGAGAGUUGGAGUAAUCCUCCUAUUUCCCUAUUCUUUCCCUGAUAUUAUUUUGCCUGAUUUUCAGAGGUAUGUGUCAAUUGAAAGAUGGUGAGAAGAAAACAGCCAGAGAAAUCUAAUUCAUGUGAACUUCUUGCAUGUGCUCUGAGAUGCCAAUGAAAUCCACUAAGCAACUUGAUAGUUUUUGAGUUUAUAAGUUUCCGUUAUGCUUUGUUGUUUGGAAUUAUUUUUAAUGCUCUUGGUUACACCUAUGAGGUAAAUAUGCACAAAUUAUUCUGGAGUAUGUAGGACCAACACUCAAAUGAGAUUGAAAAUGUGACUGGGAUCAUUGAUUGAUGUAUUCUGUCUGUAUUGUUGCUAAUAUAACUCAAUUGACAUGUUGUUUAUUUUUUCUCUUUGAUUUUUGUAAAACAAACAAAUUCCAAUAUCUAGUAUGUACUAAAAUAUUAUACUUUCAUUUUUAUUUUUUACUCUGAUGAUUUACACUGCCAAUAUAAGGAGAUGUAUACCUAUUUUUUAAAUUAAAAAAUGUUCUCGGACUGGAGGCUCCAGGUUUUUUUCCCCCAUUAGCCUUUUUAUGACUACUAAAUGCAAGACCACUGUUAAUUCGCCUUUUUUCUUUACGUUUUAACUGUACUAGGAAUCUGAAGCCAUCAACAAAAGCUAGAUUUUUCUCCCUUUGCUCACUUGCCACCUGUUAAAAUUUAAAGGAGAGAUUUUUUUUUUUUAGUUUGAGACUAGAAAUAGCAAUUUAAUUAAUAAUUUGUUUUUAUAUAAUAAUAUAUUUAUAUCUAAAUUUUUUCUUCUUGUUUGAAUAUACUUAUAUUGGUUGUCCUACAGUUAAGAAAACAGAAACCAUUGGGUAAAUUAAGCAGAUUUAAUACAAUGUAUUAAAUGCUUAUGAAUAAUUCAAAGACUUACAGGAACAUUCAUUGGAGGCUGCUACUGGAGCUACUGUGUUCCAGAGCACGUUACACCAGUAAUGUGAUGUAAGGGCAAAAGGCAAAAAGCCUUGGUGUCAUUGCCACUCCUUCAUCACCCUCAACACUCUUGAAGGUGGUGAAUAGUCAGUGGACACAGGUAUGGCUGCCACAAUUGCUUUCCCUCACAUCUCAUCAUCAUCUUGCUCACCAGCAGCAAUUAUAUCAGUAGAUCCCUCUGCCUCACUUGUGCUUUCUAAAGCUCAUUUGGUGCAUCUAAUUGGUGGAAUCUACUUUGCACAGAGAAACUUGGCUUUAAAAAUCAAUUUGUAGAUUUCAAGAUUCUUAUGCAACAGAAAACAUGCUAAUAGAGGGUGGAUUGGAGGGAGACUCUGUCAAUCAAUCAAUAUCCAUUACUUUAAUUUUUUAAUAACCUUUUUAUUGUAGUGUAAAAGCAAGGUAAAGAAAAAUACACAAACAUAUUUAGCUUAAUGAAAUAUUAUAAGGCAAACACCAUUAUAAUCACAUCUCAAGUCACAAAAUAGAACUUUGCCAGCCACCCCUGAAGUCCUCAAAUUUGUUCAUCUCGAUGACAACCCUCUCCUUCCAAAAUUAACCAUUACCCUGACUUAAUAAAUUAUUUGCAUUUCUUUUCAGUUUCAUGAAUACAUAUAUACUCAAAUAUACAUCCAUACACACUCAAACUUGGCCUCACCAACUUUGUUUCCUUUUCCUGUAGCCUACAAGUCUCACUAUCACUAUCUCUUCAAUUUCUGUGUAAUUUAUCUUUCUUUUUCUUUUUUUUUUUUUUUCUUUUUUUGAGACGGAGUCCAGCUCUGUCGCCCAGGCUGGAGUGCAGUGGCGCGAUCUCUGCUCAUUGCAAGCUCUGCCUUCCGGAUUCACGCCAUUCUCCUGCCUCAGCCUCCUGAGCAGCUGGGACUAUAGGUGCCCACCACCACACCUGGCUAAUUUUUUGUAUUUUUAGUAGAGACGGGGUUAUAAUUUAUCUUUUGAAAAACCUGAGUUAUUUACCAUGUAGGAUCUCCCAGAGUCUGAAAUGUGCUGAUUGCAUGCUCAUGGUACAGUUCAACAUGUACUUCUGUCACUGUAUUUUCUGCAAAUUGCCUAUCCAAUGGCUUAAUCAUAUUUAGUUUGAUACUUUUUGCAAGACAAAUGACAGAUGAUGUUAUAUUUUUGCAUCCAAAAGAUCUUGAUGUCUUGCUUUAUCUCUUUUGGGAAUGAUAGUGCUGUCGUUGCUGUAGUAGUUGAUACCUCUAACCAUUUUUGUCGGCUAAAGCUUAUUCUCUACUAUAUUCCUCAGGAAUUCUUCUUGAAGACCCUAUUCUCUGAAUUCUGGCAUGUUGGCAAGUUUCUUUGAAACAUAAGUGUUUCAAAGUCAAUUUUGCUGUAAAUUCAUUGGCUAUUCAUUUUCUUGAUUAUCUUAAAUUGAAAUAAUGACUCUCUUUGUAAGCACUUUGUCUGGAGUCUGCAAAGCCUGUAUUUCUCUUCACUCACCCUAGCAUACCAUACAAUUAGAAGUUUGGAACUGAUCUUUUAAUUUUUGGAGGGAAGUAUUAACAACCCUUCUGAUAUUUAUAUUAGUAGUCUCUCUAAAGUAAUUAAAUAGGACUCCAUUGCACUCAAGAGAUUUUAAAACAUUUAAAUUUCUAAAUUUCCUUUAAGUAUAUUAAAAUGUAACUAAAUAAAAUUGUUCUUCAAGAGUAACAUGUAAUUGAAUCAUCAACAUAUUCAUAUAACUUUUCCAAUUUUUAAAAGAAAGAUACCUCUCUUGCAGCUCAAUUACUUUUUAAAUAAAAUAAAUUUGAAUCCCUGUUCGUACCUGGAGACCUUUUUGAUCUGCUCUCCUCACCUCACAUUUCACACAUGGAGAAAAAAAGUCUGCAC